GUUAAACGCAAAGGUAACGCGGCACACGCAACAGCAAGCAGCAGUUUUUUUUUUUACUGUAACCGCUCGGAGUUUCCCGCGAAUGCAAGAGGAACCGUCUCGAGCAGAAUGAAUGGUUAUCAAGGCGCCAGAAACAGCGCUAGAGCGAAGGAAGCUGUUAAAAGAUGCAGCGCUGGGAGUCUUUUAAAGCCUGGUUCUUCUGGCGACUUGGCAGAGCUCAACCACGGAAGUCAAAGCGCUACGGGCCAAAGACGACCGAUAAAGGUCCAGACAUGAAGGAGACAGCGUCUUGUCUGUGGCAUCUCACAAUGAGAAGAGCUUUCAGCGUGUCGCGAGUUUCCAAAGUUGGUUCAGGAGAUACACUGGAUUAGGUGGAAUGACAAAUCACUCCUGGCGACUGGUGAGGUGACCUGUGCUAUGCCCUUCCAGCAUAGAGAGGUGGGAUGCACCCACCCGCUGCUUGCCUUGUCUCCACACCGACCUCUGCACAGACUGUCAAGUCAACUCACCAUCAGGCCACCGUUUGCCUCAGUGAACAUUCAACGCUGUCGGUGAGUUUGAGCUAAAUAGAAAAAAACCAUCGACCGUUGAUUGUACCCUGCGGCCGAGCCCUACCGAGCCUUGCCUCUCCCCACCACCGGCAAAGACGAAUUUCAGCAUGGACUCCUGGAGACACGACGGUUUUGUCUUCCAACGCUACCGGCAGCCUGGGACGACGGCUGAAAAGUUUGACUUUGAAAACUACAACAAAGGUCACAAUCAACAUUCAUUGCUGUCGGUGGGUUGGACUGUUAAAGAAAGCUCACUGAACAAUGAAUGCAACUGUGUCCCAGAUUUCCUUCUCGCAAAGUGGCAUCGGAGAUUAAUAUUAACUGACAGAGCUGGAUGUACUCAUUUGCUCUUCUCACUUGAGUUUGUUUGUGGCUCUUCGUGGCAAAGACGCAAGUGGACUGAGAACACCAUGUCAAAGGCCCCUUUAAGGCCAAUGAAUGUUUCUUUUGUAUAAUAAAUAAAGACAAGACCAAUCCAAACCCAGUCUAAUCCUGUGAGUCUAAAACGUAUUAACCGGAGAUGUGG